CAGGUCCAGUGCUCAACUGCUUUAAAAGUCUGCUUGUAGCUCACUUGCCAUUUCUUUUACUUCAUGGGCUUUGGCAAGUCAUAUUGAAAUGCUCAGGAUAAGGACAGGAAGUGGCCACAUGAACAUAAGGACACAGGGACACUGGGUGAUGUCAAAGUCAAUAAUCAGUUCCCAAUAUCAUUGGAAAGUACAACCAGGGGUGUCUAGUGCUGUGGAGUCAACACAACUGGGCUGAACUCAUGGAAACUUUUGGUUCCAAAUAGAGGAAGUCAUAGCAACAACAGCGAUUCAUCUUCCGGCUUUCAUCAGCUCCUCAUGGCCUCGCUGUCAUCGUCAUCUGAGCUAAAAACAAUCCAACCAAGGGAAAGGCAUCUCCUCUCCUGCCAUUCCACUCUCCUCUCCACCACCGAUGGCACAUUCUCUGUAGUUUUUGUUCCUGCCUCCAUUUUGUGCGAAAGCUCCGGUGUCUGCCAGCAACCCUAAAACAGUCAGCCCACUUUCAGAAAUUCACUCACCUCUUAAACACUUAGAAGCUGAAUUGAGUGAAAACCCAUUUUCAGAAGAGUUUCCAAGGAAGUAGAAAGUUUCCACACCCUACAUCUUCUACUAAAAGAAAUGGAAACUAUGCUCUGCCUGCCAAAGGCUGAAUUGUUGUGUCACAGGCUGUUGAACAUUAUAAUCAGCAAUAAAAAUGUGAACAUACUUGAUGCUAUAUUAAAG
rnacentral:lncRNA from 1 species